GGUAUCAUAAAAUAUGCUUGAACUUGGGUUAAUUCCUCUCGGACUGAAUUGUAGUGCCGUAAACCAAACUUUUCAAAAAGAUUGGAUGCAAAACUAUUAUGGCAACAGGAAUUUUUAUCAACAUAAAGCAGGAUUUAAUGCAGGGUGAAGGAUUUCUACUGUAAAUGCUUCAAAUCAUCAUCAUGAGGGAGAAGAGCACAGCAGUAUUUCCUUCCAAAAUCGUCCACCAUGGAGAAGAUGCCCUAUACGUGUAUGUAAAAUGCUGAAUUAAAUAACAUUGUUUAACCAUUUUGCCAGCCACAGAAAUAAACUAACUUAAAUGCCUAUGUAGCCCUGGUACAUAAUGCAGUGUCUGGUCUAUAGUAGGUGCUCAAUAAAGGUCUGUUUAAUAGUAAUGAAUGUCUGAUGGAUAAAGUAAAGAUAAGCAUU
rnacentral:lncRNA from 1 species